UGUGAAGAGGAGGAAAAAAACUAGAACUCAGUACACUGUUUUUGAUAUUUUCGGCCAGUCCAAUCUGCUCUUUCUUUCUCUGGUUUUCAACUCUUUCAGGUCACAUUUUUCUUUCAAUUCUUUUGCAUUAUCUCUUUUUUCCAGACCUGCUCUUUUCUUUUUCUUUUUUUUUUCAACACAACCAGAUUGCUCUUCUUAUUUUUCUUUUCUUUUUCUUGGCCUUUCUUUUUCUCUAUUGCACUCACUAAGUUCCUAGAUCCUCCAUCCC
rnacentral:lncRNA from 1 species